UCUCUCUUCGGUUCAGUACAUAACAUGCUAAUGGCUUCACCAGUCUAUCUCCCUGUCGAAUCAAAUGUAAUUUCUUUCUAAUCCAUAUAUCCUCCAAGUCAAAACGAACCUUCAUGGUAUCCUUCGUUCUUCCUUCGAUAUUGAGGAUGGUAUAAAAUACAUUAUCAAAUAUAUUCUUUUCAAUGUGCAUGACGUCAAGAUUGUAUCAAAGAAGAAGCAUUUUUCAAUAUGGA
rnacentral:lncRNA from 1 species